AACUUAUUGGUGGUAUAAGAUGAAUAUCAAGGGUUGGGCAGGAAUAAAAAUUUCUGUUGUGGAGGUGGUUGAAAGGAAAUCAGAAUAGCAAUCUGGUACAGUGCAGGAAUCUGGAGAUGGGGUGAUUCUUGUUCUUAUAUCUUCUUGCUCAAAAGAAAAAUGAAGUCUGUCCAAGAGAGUUUGGCCACUAUAAAAAGGGACAGUGUUUGACGUGGAUGUAAGUCGCAGAAGUGCUUCUUUUAUCUCUACCGAAUGAUUGUGCUACUGACUCCUUGUACCAAACUGUUAUAUUGCUGGCUACCUUUUAAACUCUUUAUCUCAAACUAUGUACUUCCUUGAUAUACUCCCUUUUUGAGAAAAUUCUCAUUCAUGGGCAACUAUUAAUUAAGUAGGAUGUUCCAAGAGCUGGAGUAAAAGAAAAUUUAUUUAAGUGGAGCACAUUGAAUCUGAGGUAAUGUCAAUUCCCUCAUUAGCUUUGUACAGACUGGGAACUCGAAGGGGAAAAUAACCAGAACAAGAAUUUGCAGGUACCUUUGUGUCGUCGCAUAUUCCAUCUCCCCUGGCGCCAAAAUCUAGUACAUUGAAGACGGUGGAAGGACUUUGCUUUGGCGGGGAUGGUGGAAUGUUUGGUUCUGGCACUGGAGGUGCUUUUGGUGAUGAAUGUUUAUGUUUUGA